rnacentral:rRNA from 1 species
GACGAACGCUGGCGGCGUGCUUAACACAUGCAAGUCGAACGGAAAGGCCCUGCUUUUGUGGGGUGCUCGAGUGGCGAACGGGUGAGUAACACGUGAGUAACCUGCCCUUGACUUUGGGAUAACUUCAGGAAACUGGGGCUAAUACCGGAUAGGAGCUCCUGCUGCAUGGUGGGGGUUGGAAAGUUUCGGCGGUUGGGGAUGGACUCGCGGGUUAUCAGCUUGUUGGUGGGGUAGUGGCUUACCAAGGCUUUGACGGGUAGCCGGCCUGAGAGGGUGACCGGCCACAUUGGGACUGAGAUACGGCCCAGACUCCUACGGGAGGCAGCAGGGGGGAAUAUUGCACAAUGGGCGGAAGCCGGAUGCAGCAACGCCGCGUGCGGGAUGACGGCCUUCGGGUUGUAAACCGCUUUCGCCUGUGACGAAGCGUGAGUGACGGUAAUGGGUAAAGAAGCACCGGCUAACUACGUG